rnacentral:rRNA from 1 species
UAGGGAAUCUUCCGCAAUGGACGCAAGUCUGACGGAGCAACGCCGCGUGAGUGAAGAAGGUUUUCGGAUCGUAAAGCUCUGUUGUUAAGGAAGAACGAGUGUGAGAAUGGAAAGUUCAUACUGUGACGGUACUUAACCAGAAAGGGACGGCUAACUACGUGCCAGCAGCCGCGGUAAUACGUAGGUCCCGAGCGUUGUCCGGAUUUAUUGGGCGUAAAGCGAGCGCAGGCGGUUAGAUAAGUCUGAAGUUAAAGGCAGUGGCUCAACCAUUGUAGGCUUUGGAAACUGUUUAACUUGAGUGCAGAAGGGGAGAGUGGAAUUCCAUGUGUAGCGGUGAAAUGCGUAGAUAUAUGGAGGAACACCGGUUGCGAAAGCGGCUCUCUGGUCUGUAACUGACGCUGAGGCUCGAAAGCGUGGGGAGCGAACAGG